rnacentral:rRNA from 1 species
AUUGAACGCUGGCGGCAUGCCUUACACAUGCAAGUCGAACGGUAACGGGCCUUCGGGUGCCGACGAGUGGCGAACGGGUGAGUAAUGUAUCGGAACGUACCUUUCAGUGGGGGAUAACGUAGCGAAAGUUACGCUAAUACCGCAUAUUCUGUGAGCAGGAAAGCAGGGGAUCGCAAGACCUUGCGCUGAUUGAGCGGCCGAUAUCAGAUUAGCUAGUUGGUGAGGUAAAGGCUCACCAAGGCUACGAUCUGUAGCGGGUCUGAGAGGAUGAUCCGCCACACUGGAACUGAGACACGGUCCAGACUCCUACGGGAGGCAGCAGUGGGGAAUUUUGGACAAUGGGGGCAACCCUGAUCCAACCAUGCCGCGUGAGUGAAGAAGGCCUUCGGGUUGUAAAGCUCUUUCGGCCGGGAAGAAAUCGUAUCAGCUAAUACCCUGUGUGGAUGACGGUACCGGAAUAAGAAGCACCGGCUAACUACGUGCCAGCCGCCGCAGUAAAAC